CCCGUUUUGCAACAAAGAGACAGUUUUAGGUUAAUUAAGCUUCUUUUAAGACUUUUUUUUUUUUCAUUUUGCAUUAGUGUGUGUCCUGAUAUAGAUGUUUCUAUAAAAUGAAAGCCGGUCAUUUAAAGUCAUUGUUAAGCUCAAUACAAACAGUGUUUCUUUCUGUCUGCUGACAAGGAUAUAAAAUACUCACUGCAUGUUCUAUAAAAGAAGAAAAUGAUAUACAUAGUGUUCAAGGAUGGUGCUAUGGAGCCUCGGUAUAAAACGAUGGAAGGGAAGAUGAGAAAUGGCACAUGCUGAGGAAUGGGAGAGUUGACCUUUGUGUCUGUGGUGAUCAACUGGUGAAGGAUUGAAAUCAUCACUGAAAUUAGUUACCAAGCAAUAAAAAACCUCUUUGGAAAUGAUAACUGACCUUAGUUUUGCCUUGGACCAUUAACUAUUUAAGGCAUUCAUUAAUGGCAAAUGAUGACAAGUGUGGAAACCAUUACUGCAUAAGUAAAUGUGCUUACUCCAGCACUAUUUGUUGUCAAGACAGCAUGAUUAAAGCCUUCUUUUCCUUCUAUUUGUACAAAAAAGUAAUUCAUUGCAAUUAUAUUAACCUUUCAGGGACCAGUGCAAAGUAUAGCCUAUUUCUCAAUGCAC